rnacentral:lncRNA from 1 species
UAACUGCUCUCUGUUUCAAAGAAUUGAAAUUGUUUUGUUUUUGCCUGGUUCUUACAAGCUACUAGCCUAUGCUAUCUGCACCUAAACAUUCACAUAUUGAUUGUUUUCUUGGGAAAUCAUAGAGUUGGAGUAACAGAUGCAUCAUCUCUGUUCAAGGCAACAGGUUGGAGCGUUGGACAUAUGGUUCCUUCUUGGGCAUUUUAUCAAACAU